UUUUGUUCAUUUUUUCUUUGUUUAGAUUGAUCAUUGAGCUUUAUCUCCUGAGCAAUUCUUGAGCAUUACGAGCACUACCGACUCCGCACUGCGCAAUAUCCAACCAUCUAUUCAGAGCAC